rnacentral:rRNA from 1 species
GUCUACGGCCAUACCACCCUGAACACGCCCGAUCUCGUCUGAUCUCGGAAGCUAAGCAGGGUCGGGCCUGGUUAGUACUUGGAUGGGAGAAAGGGCUAUUUUCAGUGCUGGGUGGUUGCACAUU